UACAGAGGGUGCGAGCGUUAAUCGGAAUUACUGGGCGUAAAGCGCACGUAGGUGGCGACGUAAGUCGGGUGUGAAAGCCCCCGGGCUCAACCUGGGAAUUGCAUUCGAGACUGCAUUGCUGGAGUACGGAAGAGGAGGGCGGAAUUCCCGGUGUAGCGGUGGAAAUGACGUAGAUAUCGGGAGGAACAUCAGUGGCGAAGGCGGCCCUCUGGUCCAGUACUGACACUCAAGUGCGAAAGCGUGGGGAGCAAACAGG
rnacentral:rRNA from 1 species